rnacentral:rRNA from 1 species
GGACUACAAGGGUUUCUAAUCCUGUUUGCUCCCCACGCUUUCGUGCCUCAGUGUCAGUAUCGGGCCAGUGAGCCGCCUUCGCCACUGGUGUUCUUGCGAAUAUCUACGAAUUUCACCUCUACACUCGCAGUUCCACUCACCUCUCCCGAACUCAAGACUUUCAGUAUCAAAGGCAGUUCUGGAGUUGAGCUCCAGGAUUUCACCUCUGACUUAAAAAUCCACCUACGCACCCUUUACGCCCAGUGAUUCCGAGCAACGCUAGCCCCCUUCGUAUUACCGCGGCGGCUGGCAC